UGAUGCUCAGGACUCAACAAUGCAGCACCUCCACCAGACCUCUAUCUGCAUCCAUGCUGGAGGGGACUCCUCAGAGAGGAUAUGCAGAGCUCUGAGUGCAGAAGAAUCAAUUGCAGUAAGCUCCAAACAGGUACGAGAGGUCCUAAGAACUGAAUUGUCCACAUCAGUGCCAGUGACCAGCCCGUCCAGUGCUAUGGAGACAAACUACAGUCAAGCGGCUCCCUAUGUCAGAGGCUAAGGGAAUGGAGAACAGAAACAGCAGCUGGCCACAGAAGUUAUGCCCUCACAUGAAAGUGCACCCCAAACAGCCUCUCCUCAUUCCAGCUUGAGAUCAAUCAUGAAGCAUAAGGCAGACAAAGAACCACGCUCUGCUUCAACCCAGAAGAAUCUGCAGUUCAUAGGAGUGAAUGGAGGGUAUGAGUCCACCUCAUCAGAGAGCAGUUCUGAGACUUCAGAUGAUGAGAGUGAUGCAAGUGAAUAUCAUGAAGCCACAGAGAAACUACCGGAAUCCUCCAGCUCAUCACACCUCAGGCCCCUCUGUUAGCACCUCUGCCGUUUCUAUACCUGUAAUUCCCAAAUCUUCAGAGACAGCAAAUGUCCAC
ensembl:lncRNA